UCCGUAACAAACCUUGCCGGCGAACCCGCGUCUGUUGCAGCUGAAUCACGAGCAUCGCGGGAUUCUAACCUCCCCUGGACGGUAUAUGAGCGUGGCCGCCUCCCCUCACAAUCAACCGAGGCGCCUCGUGCUGGGAGCCAUCCCCGUAGACCAAAUCUGAGAGAGGAGUGGAUGCCGCCGCGGCUAUUCUUGCCGUCGUCGUGAUUCCGCUCAUCUACCUUCGCUCGGUGUGCGUGGCAUGGUCAUCGAAGAUCUCCAGGGCGCGUUGAAGCUCGUUAUGGCGACGCCGGGCGGGAUGGCUCUCUCUGUCACCGAAAUUUCACCGGAACUGAAUCUCUAUUGUCGGGUGCCGCCGCCGCCAAAACUUCGCACCAUAUCGCCGCCCCCCCUGUUUUGUGCCCGGAGGAACUCGCGGAUUCGUGCGCAACCUCAUCGCCGACUAUUUUGGACUUGUGGUUGGCUCGGGCCACCUCGAUUGCUCACCGGUGUCCCAGCUCCGCCUCGGAUCCGCUUUGCACCGUCGACUGGCCGCAACACGGUUCCAAUUGCCGGUAACAACUUCCCCUAUGUCUCACCGUAGCUCUGCAUUUGUAUAGUUUACCUACAAUCGGACUCUGGGGCCCUGAAUUGCCGUAUCCGGUUACUCCGGCGAGGAGCGCCGCCGUAGCGCGUGCGGCAACCUCGCUGCCGUGGCGUGUGGUUGGGGAUGAGAGCCUAGCCGUCGAUUGAGCAAUCAAGGGUGCAGGUUAGAUCGGGAGGGCGGAUCAGGCCAGGGUAAAUGCGGAUCGUCCGAUCGCGAUCGGACGGGUCGGGGCGAUCGCAGGGGAUUUUAAAUCCAAACCGUAGAUUUGUAAUCGUGCGGUGCCUACUGGGUACCGAUUCGUUUCGAAGCCGGUCUAAUCGUAGCCGUAGAACUUUAAUCCAACGGCCGGGAUUGGCCCGUACCCCUUCGCGGGUACGUUUUACAAAAGAAACCCCGCCAAACUUUGAAACCAACCCGCCAUCCGCGCGGGGAUUAAGUCUGAGUCUUCAGAUAAAUUGCGCUAAGGCCCCUGUCUUUCUCAGAUUUAUUGCGCCCAGUCCAGAGCCGAGUUAAAUUGAUUAAAUGAAUUGGAAAUUGGAUUUUUAAUAUGAAAAUAAACCCUAGAACUUCAAUAAUUCAUAGAAAAUGCAUAUGAACUCCAAAUUACUUCAUUCCAGUUCCUAAAAUUUUGUAAUAAUGUUGUUCAUUACAUAGCACCUCUGUUUUAACAUGAAAAUGGUAUUAAAAUUUAUUUCUUAACUAAUCUUGUAUCAAAUACAUAAAACCUUAGGAAAUCCGUAUCUCCUUCAUUUUAAAUCCGAUUUGACUCGUUCCAGUUGCGUUAGUCUCGUAGCAACGCGUAGAUUAUUAUUACUCAGUUUAUUCUUAUGUUUGUUGUGAUGUUAAUUUUGCCUAUACCAUAUUUGUUUGUAUUGCUACGACUAGUGUGAGGUCACGAGUCACCUGAAGAUCAUCCUGGUACCUGGAAUCUCAAGUCUCAGGCAAGUUGUGCCCUUGAUCACUUCUUUUACCCACUCAUGUUCUAAUUAAUCAUAAUGAUCUGCAUAGGUUAAUUUUGAUGGGACCCAAUAGGUUACCCUAGUUUGAUUAUCUUUAUACCUUGUUUACCACUGAACUUUUUGGGUAGUACUUGCUAGUGCUUUUAUGUGGUUUUGGGUAUGAGGAUACAUUAUUCAUGAUCACACUGUUAUUAUCUGUUUAUUAUUACUGUUCAUGAUAAGAUCAUUAUGUUAAUUGGAACAUGGAGAACCACCCGGGAAAACAGUGCUACCACAAGGGUUUAAUGGGACGCCCUUGGCUGAUUAAUUAGGAAAGCUAGUGGAGGACUACCUUACCCGAAAGGGGCAAGGGCAGUAGGGGAGUGGUCAGUGUAGGGAGGCCCUCGGGAGGAUUUUGCUGUGAUGGCGGUCCUGCAAGGGAUUCCUGGGAAGGCCCUCGGGAGGAUUUUGCUGUGAUGGCGGUCCUGCAAGGGAUUCCUGGGGAGGCCCUCGGGAGGAUUUUGCUGUGAUGGCGGUCCUGCAAGGGAUUCCUGCAUUGGAGCUUCCUAUAAACUGUAGCGGGUUUUCUGAAGCUAGUGGAACUUUGUAAAGGCCUCGUAGUGUUACCCUGCCUCGCCUCCUCGGUAGAGGUGUAUGGGAAGUCGCGAUCCCUUGGCAGAUGGGUAACAUGACUUGUGGGUAAAGAUGCGCCACCUCUGCAGAGUGUAAAACUGGUAUACUAGCCGUGCUCACGGUCAUGAGCAGCUCGGACCCUCACAUGAUUAAAUUAUGGAACUUAAACUCAAUUUGUCAUAUGCAUUGCAUCGCAGGUGAGGUUAUUACUUUUGUUCUACUAUUUAACUGGGCUGGUAUUUACUUAUACUUAGUAAUUGCUAAUAAAAUUUUGACCAACUUUAAAAGCAAUGCUCAGCUCUAACCAUCCUCUUUGGUAAGCCUUACACUUCACAUGAGCUCCCGCCUUUGGCGAGUUCAUGCACAUUAUUCCCCACAACUUGCUGAGCGAUGAACGUAUGUGAGCUCACUCUUGCUGUCUCACACCCCCCCACAGGUCAAGAACAGGUACUGCAGGAUGAUGCUCAUGGAGGAUGCUGUGAUGAGUUCGUGAGAGGUCUAGGUCAUCGUCUCCCAGUCAACUUUGGGUUGCUGGACCGUUGUCUCCCUAUAAUGUAAUUAUCUAUUUAUUUUGUAUAGAACUCCUGUUAUAUAGUAAAGAUGUGACAUUCGAUCCUGUGCCAUGAUUCAUCAUAUGUGUGAGACUUGGUCCCAGCACACCUGGUGAUUAUGUUUACGCCCGGGCUUUGGACCCCUAAAACCCGGGUGUUACACCGGGGUAUCAUAUGUGGUCACCCUGGGACCGGCUGACGGCCGUCUCGACCUACGGACCUCUGGGUUCCGAGGAAGAUGACGAGCCCGACUCUGGUUGGGAUUUCUCCGGGCUCGAUAACCCCAGCGCCAUGCGGGACUUCAUGACCGCAUGUGACUAAUGCCUCUCCGAUUGCUCCGAUAGCAGCCACAGCCUCGGCGACGAGGACUGUGGCCCAAGUCGUGAAUGCUUUCACGUCGAUCUAGGGGGUCUCGACGAAGGCAACCAUCUUGGUAUGCCGAAGGACGGUGAUCCCCCUAGGCCUGCGCCACGCGUUGACAUCCUUCGGGAGCUAGCUGUGGUCCCUGCGGGGGGUCAGGACGCACAGCUCGAGCAAAUCCGCGAGGUACAGACCAGGCUCGACGAGGAAGCAGGACAACUUGUGUAGCUUUGGCAAAAUAUCAGACAGGAGUGGGCAGGCCGAGCAUCGGCCGGAGAAGCGUGUCAUCUGGCCCAGGACGUCCAGCACCGCAUCACCGACGAUGCCAGGGCGAGGCUGCCCCCGGCUUCCAGUGGGGUCGGCCAGAACCUGGAUGCAGCAGCGAUACUACUCCGAGCGAUGUUGGAACCAUCCACCACCGAGGGGCGGCGUAUCCAGGGAGAGCUCAAGAAUCUCCUAGAAGAUGUCGUGGUCCGACGGGCCGAGAGCUCUGCCUCCCGGAGGCAGGUGUACCCCCGGAGCAUCGUGCUGCGGCUUCCCAAUUCAUGCGGGAAGCCUCGGUCCACACCGGGCGAACGCGGAACUCAGCGCCUGCGGCCCCGGGUCGCCUCGGCAACGAGCACCACCGUCGCGACCAUCGAGCCCACCUCGACGAGAAGGUGCGCCGAGGCUACCACCCCAGGCGUGGGGACGCUACGACAGCGGGGAGGAUCGGAGCCCCUCGCCUGAACCACCCGGUCCAUGAGCUUUCAGCCGGGCCAUACGACGGGCGCCGUUCCCGACCCGGUUCCGAACCCCGGCUACUAUCACCAAGUACUCAGGGGAGUCGAAGCCGAAACUGUGGCUCGCGGACUACCGGCUGGCCUGCCAGCUGGGUGGAACAGACGAUGACAACCUCAUCAUCCGUAACCUUCCCCUGUUCCUCUCUCACGCCGCCCGAGCCUGGCUGGAGCAUCUGCCCCCUGCGCAGAUCUCCAACUGGGACGACCUGGUCAAAGCUUUCGCCGGCAACUUCCAGGGCACAUACGUGCGCCCUGGGAACUCCUGGGAUCUCCGAAGCUGCCGCCAGCAGCCAGGAGAAUCCCUCCAGGACUACAUCCGACGAUUUUCGAAGCAGCGCACCGAGCUGCCCAACAUCACCGACUCGAAUGUCAUCGGCGCUUUCCUCGCCGGCACCACUUGCCGCGACCUGGUGAGCAAGCUGGGUCGCAAGACUCCCACCAGGGCGAGCGAGCUGAUGGACAUCGCCACCAAGUUCGCCUCUGGUCAGGAGGCCGUUGAGGCCAUCUUCCGGAAGGACAAGGAGCCUCAGGGGCGCCAGCUGGAAGACGUCCCCGAGGCGUAUGCUCAGCGCGGCGCGAAGAAGAAGGGCAAGAAGAAGUCGCAAGCGAAACGCGACGCCGCUGACGCAGACCUUGUCGCCGCCGCCGAGCACAGGAACCCUCGGAAGCCUCCCGGAAGCGCCAACCUGUUCGACAAGAUGCUCAAGGAGUCGUGCCCCUAUCAUUAGGGUCCCGUCAAGCACACCCUUGAGGAGUGUGUCAUGCUUCGGCGCUACUUCCACAGGGCCGGGCCACCGGCGGAAGGUGGCCGAGCCCACAACAACGACAAGAAGGAGGAUCACAAGGCAGAGGAGUUCCCCGAGGUCCACGACUGCUUCAUGAUCUACGGUGGGCAUGUGACGAACGCCUCGGCUCGGCACCGCAAGCAAGAGCGCCGGGAGGUCUGCUCGGUAAAGGUGGCAGCGCCAGUCUACCUAGACUGGUCUGACAAGCCCAUCACCUUUGACCAGGGCGACCACCCCGACCACGUGCCGAGCCCAGGGAAGUACCCGCUCGUUGUCGAUCCCGUCAUCGGCAACAUCAGGCUUACCAAGGUCCUCAUGGACGGAGGCAGCAGCCUCAACAUCAUCUACGCCGAGACCCUCGGGCUCCUGCAGAUCGAUCUGUCCUCGAUCCGGGCCAGCACGACGCCUUUUCACGGGAUCAUCCCUGGGAAACGCGUCCAACCCCUUGGGCAACUCGAUCUGCCCGUCUGCUUUAGGACUCCCUCCAACUUCCGAAGGGAAACCCUCACGUUCGAGGUGGUCGGGUUCUGAGGAACCUACCACGUAGUGCUGGGGAGACCAUGCUACACCAAGUUCAUGGCCGUCCCCAACUACACCUACCUCAAGCUCAAGAUGUCGGGCCCCAACGGGGUCAUCAUCGUCGGCUCCACCAUUCUGGACCAUGUUUUUCGACGGGUCAUUGAUGAAAACAGGAGCGGGCGCGGGCCUGCUCUUCAUCUCACCCAUCGGGAAGCACCUCCGCUACGUGCUGCGCCUCCAUUUCCCGGUGUCCAACAAUGUGGCCGAGUACGAGGCUCUGGUUAACGGGUUGCGCAUCGCCAUCGAGCUAGGGGUCCGAUGCCUCGACGCUCGUGGCGACUCACAGCUUGUCGUCGACCAAGUCGUGAAGAACUCCCACUGCCGCGACCCGAAGAUGGAAGCCUACUGCGAUGAGUUUCGGCGCCUGGAGGACAAGUUCUUCGGGCUCGAGCUCAACCACAUCGCCCGACGAUACAACGAGACUGCGGACGAGCUGGCUAAGAUAGCCUCGGGGCGGACAACGGUUCCCCCGGACGUCUUCUCCCGUUACCUACAUCAACCCUCAGUCAAGACCGACGACACGCCCGAGCCCGAGAAGGUCUCGGCCCUGCCCGAGGCGCCCUCGGCUUGGCCCGAGGCACCCUCGGCCCCCGAGGGUGAGGCACUGCGCGUCGAGGAAGAGCGGAAUGGGGUCCCGCCUAAUCGAGACUGGCAGACCCCGUACCUGCAAUAUCUCCACCGAGGAGAGCUACCCCUCGACCGAGCCGAAGCUCGGCGACUGGCGCGGCGCGCCAAGUCGUUCGUCUUGCCGGGUGACGGGAAGGAGUUCUACCACCGCAGCCCCUCAGGCAUCCUCCAGCGAUGCAUAUCCAUCGCCGAAGGUCAGGAGUUAUUACAAGAGAUACACUCGGGGGCUUGCGGUCACCACGCAGCACCUCGAGCCCUCGUUGAAAAUGCCUUCCGACAGGGUUUCUACUGGCCAACCGCGGUGGCCUACGCCACUAGGAUUGUACGCACCUGCCAAGGGUGUCAAUUCUACGCAAAGCAGACCCACCUGCCCGCUCAGGCUCUGCAAACAAUACCCAUCACCUGGCCGUUUGCUGUGUGGGGUCUGGACCUCGUCGGUCCCUUGCAGAAGGCAUCCGGGGGCUACACACACCUGCUGGUCGCUAUCGACAAAUUCUCCAAGUGGAUCGAGGUCCGACCCCUAAACAGCAUCAGGUCCGAACAGGCGGUGGCGUUCUUCACCAACAUCAUCCAUCACUUUGGGGUCCUGAACUCCAUCAUCACCGACAACGGCACCCAGUUCACCGGCAGAAAGUUCCUGGACUUCUGCGAGGAUCACCACAUCAGGGUGGACUGGGCCGCCGUAGCUCACCCCAUGACGAAUGGGCAAGUAUAGAGUGCCAACGACAUGAUUCUGCAAGGACUCAAGCCGCGGAUCUACAACGACCUCAACAAGUUCGACAGGCGAUGGAUGAAGGAACUCCCCUCGGUGGUCUGGAGUCUGAGGACAACGCUGAGCCGAGCCACGGGCUUCACGCCGUUUUUUCUAGUCUAUGGGGCCGAGGCCAUCUUGCCCACAGACUUAGAAUACGGUUCCCCGAGGACGAGGGCGUACGAUGACCGAAGCAAUCGAACCAACCGAGAAGACUCACUGGACCAGCUGGAAGAGGCUCGGGACAUGGCCUUACUACACUCGGCGCGGUAUCAGCAGUCCCUGCGACGCUACCACGCUCGAGGGGUUCGGUCCCGAGACCUCCAGGUGGGCGACUUGGUGCUUUGGCUACGACAAGACGCCCGAGGGCGCCACAAGCUCACACCUCCCUGGGAAGGGCCAUUCAUCAUCGCCAAGAUUUUGAAGCCCGGAACGUACAAGCUGGCCAACAGUCAAGGCGAGGUCUACAGCAACGCUUGGAACAUCCGACAGCUACGUCGCUUCUACCCUUAAGAUGUUUUUCAAGUCGUUCAUAUACCUCGCUUACAUACAAAGUCUAACCAUCAAGGAAGGGUCAGCCUUGCCUCGGCAAAGCCUGACCCUCCCUCGGGGGCUAGAAGGGGCGAACCCCCUCUGCGUCAAAAUUUUCCUCGGAAAAAAUCUUUCUGCCAAAACGUCUUUCGCGCUCUUCGACUGCUUCGAAAGUGGGAUCCUGAAAACGACGGAGCAGCCAAGGCCGACCGAGCCGAGGGACUCCUACGCCUCCGGGAUACGGAUACCUUACUCAUCACCUUCUGCGAUAAGUAACUCACGCUCGGAUAAGCGAUUCCGCUGACCGAACAAGUCUUAAUGCUCGAAAACUUUUCUGCCGAAAUGAUUUUUCGUGCCUUCUCGACUAUAUCGAUAACAGAAUCCUACGGACGAGUAAGAGUACAUGUAAGCGGCAAGGCCGACCGAGCCGAGGGACUCCUACGCCUCCGGGAUACGGAUACCUCACUCAUCACCAUCCAUGAAAAGUAACUCUCGCUCGGACAAACAAUUAUGUUACCGACAAAUAAGUCCAGAUACUCGAAACAAGGGGAAAAGAAACGCAGCUUUACAACACGACGACGAUAUGUUUGGGCCUCGGCGGCCGCCAAAAACAUACACACACUACAGAUAAACUGUUCCUGCAGGAUCAGACAUCAAUGGGGGAGCAGCAGCACCCUCGGCGUCGACUCCACCUUCGGCGGAAUCCGACCCAGCCUCGGACGGCAACACGGUUGGAGGAUCUCCACCUCGAAGGAACCUGUCGGCACCACGCCUGGGCCAUCACCGCUAGGGUCUCCUCCGGGAACCCGGCCCGAGCAGAUGGCUCAACCGGCCGCUCCGUAGCCUCAGCCAGCUGUCCCCCGAGGACGUCAGCCCGGCUCAUGGCCUCGGCAACCCGACUCCGGCGUCGGUCCCGCCAGUGGACGGCCCGGCCAGGCUCUGGCCGACGAAGCUUCUUUUCGAGCCAACUCUGCCUCUGUCCGUGCUGGCACCGCUGCCACUGGCUCCGUCUCAUCGCAGAGCGACCGAGGGUUCCUUUAACUAAGCAAGAGAAGCCUCGGGCGGCAAGGCCGACCGAGUCGAAGGACUCCUACGCCUCCGGGAUACGGAUACCUCACUCGUCACCUUCGCACGAGGCGACUCACACUUGGUUAAGCGGUUCAGUUAGUCGACAGGCGAGUCCUAGUGCUUGAAAUGAGGAAGAAACAUGGCUUCACGCCAAAAUACAUAAAUGUUCAGGCCCCGACAACCACGAUGAACAAACACCGGCACUCAAGGUGCCAUUACAGACGGAACUCCGGUUCCACCCCCGCGGGUAUGAACAACCUCCACAUAGGAGAGCCUGCGGGAUGACAAACUCCUGGUGAUUCGCCAGCAACCUCUGCGGCAGUAGCGAUGGUCCCAGGACGGACGCUGCCGCCGGAAGGCCCUUGUUCGCGUCCCCACUCAAGGGACGAGAACCAGACAUUAAAGCCAAAGAGCCGGAGGUCGGUCCGUGGGUAGCGCUGACAGGCUCGUCGGCGGAGAAGCUUUCUCCAGCUGCCACCACGUCAGCACCGAUGAUGGCGUCCACCUGUUCACCAACAUCGCACCAGCGAGCGCCGGCCGCCCCAAAGCGCACUGGCAGGUCCUCACUCCCGUCCUCACCACGAAAGCAAGGACAGAGGACGGAAUGUUGCACCCUGGCUGGGCAGCAACAGUUCGCCUUCCCCGGCAUGGCUGGAGGGCGCCUCCUCCGCAGAGCUGGAGGAUGGUUUCCACCCCCAGAAGCUGGAAGAAGAGGUGGCCCGCCGACCCGUGUGGGAGGUAGAGCUCCGGCUCAGCCCGCCCUCCGCCCCAGCAAGGAUGAUGAAGAUCCUUGAAGCUGAGGGCGGGGCAGAGGCCGCAGCCCGGCUCGCUUCUCCCCACCAUCGAACUGGUGGUCACCGUCUUGGGUGACCACCGGCGAGGGGAUGCAGCCGGGCUGCCUGAUGAAAAUCCUUGAAGCCGAGCGAUGGCUGAAAGGUACCAACUUCCGCGAAGUUGCGUUCCUCCAACGACGACAAGACGGAAGAACCGCGGGUGCUCCCCAUCCGGGGGCUCGGAAGGUGGAAGGGUGCAAUGCAUGAAGGGAGUGCGAAGACAUGGUUGCCAUCCAAGGGGGUCACCCUCCUUUUAAAGGCGACUCUCCCCACUUGCGUCCUCAGCCGUCGCGGACUGAGUCUUCACCAACACGCUCCAAGGUCCUCCCUCUAUGACACAGGGGCUGGGACCCACGCGUCAUGCAAGCUGGCCCAGGGCAGAAGAAGCCAAACCGGCGCGCGCGGUGCGCGUAACUGCCCAGCGGUUACAAGCACUCCUCCACUUUCGCCCAGACCAGCGGGUGAAAGGGCGGACCACCAUGCAGGCGGCAUGCAACCGCACCAAGGGGGCGCACCCUUUCGACUUCGACGCGUCCAGCAUGGAGGCACAGGCCCACACGUCAUGUAACCGGUGCGCCGGUUACUAUGUGCGAGAAACUGCACAGCCACUUGCGCCAGUACCGCGCCUUCUCGACUGCGGAACCAGUGCUGCGACUCGAGGCAACCCUGCGCAUGGCCCAACAGUGCCGACCGAGCACAUCGGUCACGGGUCAGCCAGCCGCGGGAGAAGGCACGACGGUCGAUACGACCAGAAAUGGGUCGGCAGUGAUGGCGGUGGCAGGCGGGUGGAAGCAGCGGUCAAGGCGUCUGCAGGCUCACGUCCCCUCCUGGGACAACGAGAGAGCCCUCUCCCACGGCGUGAAGACGACGCGCCCGUGUUCUGUUCCUCGAACGGCUCGCGCACGCACAACGGCUGCCCCGCGAACUACUCGUCCUGUCGCAUUAACUCUGCGGCAGGACAGGCGACACCUUUGGCAGGCGAAGCAAGCGACGCUUCACCUUCGCCAUAAUGACCGCGUCAAAAAAGGUGCGCCACGUCGUUCAAAUUCAUAUCCCUUUUUCUCUUCCCCUUUCUCUCUCUUGCUACAGGGACCGGGAAAGGGGAUACUCCGAAAUGGAUCCUUCUCCGCGAGGAAGCGGGCCCUGAGCCCCCCUACUGAUCAGAGGUUCGAAGGCUGGCCCCUCAGAAGGGUUCGACAGCCGCCUCAGAGCACUCGGGCUCCGAGCCCUCCUACUGAUCAGAGGUUCGAAGGCUGGCCCCUCGAAAGGGUUCGACAGCCGCCUCAGAGCACUCGGGCUCCGCACCCACUAUUGGUCAGAGGUUCGAAGGCUGGCCCCUCGGAGGGGUUCGACAGCCGCCUCAGACCACUCGGGCUCCGCGCCCACUACUGAUUAGGGGUUCGUAGGCUGGCCCCGAAGGGUUCGACAGUCGCCUCAGAGCACGCAAAGCGAGGGAUGACUCUGGGUACGUCCGAUACAUGGCCGAGGCUCGGGCUACGCUCCCGAGGUACCCUAGGACAUUUCCGAGACCAGCAGGAGCAAUUCUGUAACGGAAUCCCAUCAGAGGGAGGCAUCGAGCCCUCGGACCCUAUCAAACGGAACCGGGUCCGGCAAAUCAACUGCAGGUACUUUUGGAGCGCGCCUCUGGGCCACUAGCCGACCCUUAUCGAACGGGGCACGGGCGUCCACUCGGAUCACCCACUAGCAACUCACUGGAGACACCAUGUUCGGCGCCCUCCGAGGGCAACAUGGCGCUUUCCCCACUCCUCCUUGCGGAAAGGCGACGCAGGGGCGUAUGAAAAAAGCCGAGUCUGUCCUUGACCGUCCUCUCGCUCUGUGCGGAGGCUCGGGGGCUGCUCUCGCAAACCCGGCUCCGGCCAAACCGUUGACAGCGUCAACAUACCAGCCCGAGAACUUGGAACCUGACUAUGCACCCGGACUACGGCCAGUUCGCAUGAAGGAACAACCAGACCGGCCGAAGCAUCACAAAAGGCAUUAAGACCUCGAAGGAGUCAAACACUCCUCCGAGGCCUCGGGGGCUACACCCGGCGGGUGCGCUCGCGGGCACCCACCGGAACGAAAUGCAACCGAGAAAGGCCGGUCCCCUUGCAAAAAAGUGCGACAAAAGCCUCCAAGCGAGUACUAACACUCCCUUCGAGGCUCGGGGGCUACUGUCGGGGACCAUAAUUAGGGGUACCCCCAAGACUCCUAAAUCUCAGCUGGUAACCCCCAUCAGCACAAAGCUGCAAAGGCUUGAUGGGCGCGAUUCCGGUCAAGGCUCCAUCCACUCAAGAGACACGAUCUCGCCACGCCCGAGCCCAGCCUUGGGCAAAGGCAGCCGACCCAGGAGGAUUCACGACUCGCCCGAGGGUCCCCUCAAGCAACGGACGCACCUUCGACUCGCCUGAGGCCCAGCUCGGGCAGGCUUCACGGAGAAGCAACCUUGGCCGGAUCGCCACGCCAACCGACCGUAUUGCAGGAGCAUUCAAUGCAAGGAUCGACUGACACCUUAUCCUGACGCGCGCUCCUCAGUCGACAGAGCCGAAGUGACCGCUGUCACUUCGCCGCUCCACUGACCGACCUGACGGGAAAACAGCGCCGCCUGCCCCGCUUCGACUGCUGUGCCACUCGACAGAGUGAGGCUGACAACAGCUAAGUCCAGCCUCGGGUGCCAUAGGAAGCUCCGCCUCGCCCGACCCCAGGGCUCGGACUCAGCCUCGACCUCGGAAGACGGACUCCGCCUCGCCCGACCCUAGGGCUCGGACUCAGCCUCGACCUUGGAAGACGGACUCCGCCUCGCCCGACCCCAGGGCUCGGACUCAGCCUCGACCUCGGAAGACGGACUCCGCCUCGCCCGACCCCAGGGCUCGGACUCAGCCUCGACCUCGGAAGACGGACUCCACCUCGCCCGACCCCAGGGCUCGGACUCAGCCUCGACCUCGGACGACGGUCUCCGCCUCGCCCGACCCCCGGGCCGGGACUCAGCCUCGACCUCGGAGGAGCCUCCGCCUCGCCCGACCCCGGGCUCGGACCGACCACGUCACAGGGGGGGCGUCAUUACCCUACCCCUAGCUAGCUCAGGCUACGGGGAACAAGACCAGCGUCCCAUCUGGCUCGCCCCGGUAAACAAGUAAUGAUGGCACCCUGCGUGCUCCAUGACGACGGCGGCUCUCAGCCCCUUACGGAAGCAAGGAGACGUCAGCAAGGAUCCGACAGCCCCGACAGCUGUACUUCCACAGGGCUCAAGCACUCCUCCGACGGCCACGACAUCACAUGAACAGGGCGCCAAAACCUCUCCGACUGCCACGACGGCAUGUACUUAGGGCUCUGGCUCCUCUCAACUAGACACGUUAGCGCAUUGCUACACCCCCCAUUGUACACCUGGGCCCUCUCCUUACGUCUAUAAAAGGAAGGUCCAGGGCUCUCGUACGAGAAGGUUGGUCGCGCGGGAGAACGGGCUAGCGGACGGCCUCUCUCUCUCUCUCACUCUCCCUCGUGGACGCUUGUAACCCCUUACUGCAAGCGCACCCGACCUGGGCGCAAGGCAACACGAAGGCCGCGGGUUUCCCCUUUGCUGUUUCUCCUCCCUUUGUGUUCCGUCUCGCGCCGACCCAUCUGGGCUGGGACACGCGGCGACAAUUUACUCGUCGGUCCAGGGACCCCCGGGUCGAAACGCCGACAAAUACAAAAGAAAAUAAAUGGGAUCGUUAUCAGCUUACUCUAUUCACAGGAGUAGUUUUAUAGACGUUUUAUAUAUUAGAGUGUCGCAUCACAUUUUUUAUGAUAUAACACCAUAUUUGUUAGAGUUAAUUAGAAAUAUGUCACUUAAAUUUUGGAAAAAAAGAUAGAAACUAAUUUAAUUUAAUACCACUUCGUAGCAUCAAAAUGAACUAAUCAUCUAAUUUGUAAAAGUCGUAUGACACAUGAAAUUUAUCAUAUUUAUCAUAAAGUAUUGUAUAUGAAAUCAUGCCAACUCAAUUCCAAGACAUGGGAAAAUUCAUUAAAUCAUCGUUGAAAGUAAUUUUUUAUCUCCAUUUAUUUUAUACAUUUCUAUUAAUCAUUUAGAUGUAAUUUUUAUUGUCAUUGUAGUCUAUUUAUUUUUCCAAUUUUAUAAGCUUUUUCAAAGUUUCAAAGUUUUGGACAAUUUCUUUUUAAAAAAACAGCUAGAAAAUCGAUAUCGGUCUAGUCCGUUAACAAGAAACUAGAUCGGUUUACCGGUUUUGUAAUGCCUGCUGCCACCCAAACCCUGUACUCAACAGUUGAUCACCAACAGUCAAUCAAGUAUUUUCUCUUUGGAAUUCUUUGUAACCACACACUUGGAAUGAACCUCUCAAAUUCCUUUUGCGAUAAUACAGUUGAAUCCAUUUUGAUAAUGCACUUUGUAGUUGAUGGCCAGGGCCGGCCCUGAGGGGGGGUGCGGCCGCAGCGUGCCUCCAAAAACAGAGGGCCCUCUAGCCACUGGACGCUAACAUUUUUUUGUUAAACCUAUCUAUUCUAGACAUAAAUACGCAAAAAACAAUGCGCUAUCGAGUUAUCGACUAGUCUUGUUUAUAUUGUUAAACUUAUGUCUCAAUUACUUAUCGAAUACUUCAUCCGUAAAAUAGUAUUUGGUUUAUGUCGGCGUUUUGGACCCGCGAGGACCCUCAACCGACUAGUGAAUUUGACGCUGUGUGUCCCUGCCCAGAUGGGUCGAUGCAAGAUGAAACACAAGAGGGAGGAUGAGGCUUAUAUUAUCUUGCACCGGGGUGCUCGUAGUAGGGGUUACAAGCUUUGCGAGAGAGAGGGUUCGGCCUUGAGGUGAGCCGUCUGAGUUAGCCUCCUCCGCGUGUCCCCCCUUGGGAAGGCCCUGGACAUCCCCUUUUAUAGAUACAAGGAGACGGUCCAGCUGUACAUGGGGGUGUAGCUAUGUGCUAACGUGGUCGGCGGAGAAGUACUUGAGCCCUAUAGAAGCGCAGCUGGCGGUGCGACCUGGGUCCUGCUGACGUUUCUUUGCCUUCGUAGAGAGCUGAGAACAAUCGACGUCAUGGACGCAUGCAGGGAGCCAUCAUUACCUGUUAUUGGAGUAAUUUGAUGUGACACUGUUGGGACCAUGCUUCGUCGCCGAAGGUCCUGCAGGAAGAAACAGCUUCGGCUGAAGCUGUUUGUACGAGAUGCCGAAGGGUGCCGUUCAUGAAGCUUCGGAGUUACAAACCGACUUAAAGAUAGAAUGACCUUUUAAUCCAUAAGAGUUUUAGUCGCUGUUGUAAUCCCUUAUGAGGGGCACGAUUGUAAUUCCUCACAAGCUGUGUCCCGUGUCUAUAAAUAGUGAACAGUAUUCCCUUACUGUUCACGAAAUCUUGUAAUCACUGGCACAUUACGCUGGAAUUAUUGCUUUCUGCCAAGACGAAGGUAUAAAUGUAUCUAAAUAUUAUGUUUUAAUAUU
rnacentral:lncRNA from 1 species